GGGAGGAGACUGCCGGCUUUACUGAAUGCUUCACCGUAGAGCUUGAAGGUGCAGGAGCUGUCACAAGACUGGUUGUCCAACGAAAUGGUUUAAAAUAUGUUAUGAAGCUGAAAUUUGAUAUGCUUGCUUGCAGUGGAUUUUUUUCGGAAAUCUUCAUCAAAAUGGCUGCAAGUAUAGAAGGAGUGAAUAAAAUUCAGCUAAGACAAAACAGAAAUUGCAAUCUUUUUAGACCAGCUCUAGCAACUCAACAGAAGAUGAUGGAGACUUAAAAACUGGCAGGCACUCAGGACCCAGUGCAGCAAAACACUUAAACACGUUCUUAACUUUAAGAUUGCGAACAAUCCCUCUGACCUCCAUGGGAAGGAGAACAGAGACACAGAGGCCAAGUGACUCACCGAAGCUCACACAACAGCAUGGAUAUAUACUUAAUGAUCACUUCAUAGCAAACAGCUUAAAGUACCUUUUUGUUGUUGUUCUCUUCCUUUAGGGGCAAUCAGCUCCUCACUGAACUCUUACUAUGGGCAAUCAAUAUCCAGAAUUAUACUUCAUCAAUUCUGCAGGAAAAUUUAUUGUUUCAUUUUUCAUAAGCAAAGCCAUGAGUUUGCCCUUGUUAAAGUUGAUAAUGGAGACAUUUUGGAGGAUGCUUCAAGGAGCUGACCAACAUCAUUCUAGGACAACUGAUUUCCAUCCAGUACAUGACCAAACAGGGCUAUAAUGGAUUUUUCUUUCUGAAUAUCUGAGGUCCCUCUUCAAGUCUGGACCUCCACAGACCUGUCCCUGUGUGGAGAAAAUGUGGAUGUUACUGAAGUUGUGAUUCAGUGAAUCAACUACGUUACGGGUUCAGAUAUGUUGUAUUAGCGGCCUUCAGCUUCUCAGGGACUGCAACAUUUGCUCAAAAUUUUCAUCUUCCCAGUCACUUCUGUUAACUAUCUGUUCUGGAUUCUUCGUCAAGUAAGUAUGUGGGGUUUAGGCAACUCCUCCAUCUCCAUCUUGCAAUAAAUAAUGGGUAGAGGGACUCCCA
rnacentral:lncRNA from 1 species